GGCUGAAGGUCAAGUGAUGGGAGAGGAGUCCUGCUGUGUGGGUAGGUGAGAGUGGUGAGCCAAAGGACGUCAUCUGGAUGUGGGACUGUCCCUCUUCAAGGCCUUUCUCCUUGUUUAGAGGCCCCUUUUUACCAGAUGAUUGAAGGAACCCAUGUUUUGGGGACUGCAUCUUGAGUUCAGCAUGACUUACGUCCUGUGAUUCACAGCUGAACUGAUUUCCCAAGAUUAAUAAAGUCAAGGGAAGGACACCUGGUUUGACUGCUGGUUCCUCAGUACUUUCAGAAGAGAGGAAAACAUUUAUAAAUAUAUAUGUAUAUAUGUACAUAUAUUUUAUCUUGUGAUUCCAAAUCUGGAAAAGAAAACAUCAUUCUUUCAUCAAAGGAGAAAUUCACCCACUGACCUGGAGGUAAUUUGAAUAAUGAACUAAGCUAGUUUUGAUGUUUGUGUCAACAGCACAGAAGUGUCAGAUUCAGUUCUCCUUACAUCCAAAAUGAUAGAUGUGAGAUCAAAGUGCCUUCAGUAACGUCAGCGUGUCAGGCUCAUGUUAUUGAGGGAAAUCUUCCUAGAGCUAUUAGCUCUGCUGUCAUACGAAAGCCAACUGAUAUCUUCACUAUACCCCCAUCCAUGUGGAAAGGAGGUGAAGGUCAACACAACGAGUUCCUUCACUUGUUUCUUCUCUUGGGAUUCCAAUAUGUCAUUGUCUGUCAAUGAAAUGAAUUUGCCUAUCUGAAUACAUGACAGAUGUAGCAAGACUGAAACUGGUCAGUGAGGAAUUCUGUGCCGGUGUCUGCUCAGGAGAUCUGCAGUGUUGGAGGUCAGGGGUGGCAAAGAGGAUGGUGAAUCUGUUAGCGCAAGAAUGAGGAGAAGGUUAGGAUAUCCUAAGGCAACUGUACUGCUGACUCGCAUCAAUUACUGCAGCAAUUUUGCCUCUAAGUCCUUGACUGACAGCAAGGGAAAGGAGUCUUCUUGCUUUGAGUUCUCACAAGGAGGUGUGCAGGAGCCCUGGUAGAUAAGCCAUGGGUUGGAAGAUGGUUGCUCUCACACUGAUGAGUAGCAGCGUGAUGUUUAGUCAAAGUAAACAUUUUUCUUUAGAGGAAAACAAAGAGAAGCAGCUUGAAUGACUGACCACUGGAUGUGGGCAGGGGAUGGUCUUCCAAACUGGAAAGUCUUCAGAAUUGUCCACCUACAAUGUCUGCAGGUCUUGGCUCUGAUGUUUUACUACUGCCAGAUGCAAGGGCUUUGAGCACUGUUAUGGAAUUGGCAGACGUGAGCAGUAUUUGCCUGUCUCCCCAACUAAAAAUGCCAGUAUCCAAUGACUCAACUCUCUGCAGCUGAUUUGCUCUUUCCUUGGGUCACCCAUUAUGGCAAGGUAGGACAUGAACUUCUUCAGCACCUUGCUUGGGAAUCCACAUCAGGGAGCACACCUGACCUACUCAGAAAAUAUCUCAUUACUUCUGACAUUUUAAAUCAGAAACCAAGUGUUAGCUGAGCAUAAGAGUUCUGAUAGUCUUCUAUGGCAACCAUUAAUUGGCAAAUAUACAUUGAAGUGGACCAACUGGCUUUGAUAGAAUCUGACUAUUGAUAUAGAAUCUUAAUGAACACUGUUUUCUGAUCACCUUGGUCCAUAUGCUUGAGCCAUUGCAGGCACAGAUGAUAAGAAUCUUAAUUUGGCAGUGGAUUUUUAGCAAGAAAGUGAAUGGCAAGAACGGAAGAGCUGUGGAAGCUGGAGGCCAGCACUGAUGUAGUAGGCAAGAACAGCAGUAACAAGUGACACAGAGCAAAACACCUCUGAAAACCAUAACCAGAAAAGCAUUACCAGAAAUACCUGUCAAAACUGACGUGAAAUUGGGGAACUAGCAGAAAUCACAAGAAUGAGCAGGACCACACACACAAUUUUUGAUGAUGGCUGAACACAGUCCCCCACAUUGACCACCACCAGACAGCAUUGGAGGACCACAAAGCCCAAGAACUGAGGGGUGUCCACAGUGAUAGGACCUGGAAUUUUUCUCCAGCUGGGAGAAACAGCUGCCAAAUUCAGCAAACUUUGUUGGUGGAGCUGAGGUGGCUGCUCAAUAAGAAAAUACAGAUAACAUUUCUGUAGAAACCCAGCAGACAACUGGAGAAAAGAUGCGGGGAAAAAGAGAGACCUUCUGCAACACAGGUCUGGCUCCAAUACACAAUGCGUUUUGCAUGUCUCGGGAGCGUACUAUCUCUAUUUGCACAUUUUAAAGUCCUGCAUAGUAGCACAAAUGGGAUGGCAUGAGGAGGUUGUAGGAGUCGAGAGAACUGUGCUAUGGAAGGAAGAGACCCUCAUCAGUAUUUCUGCCAUUAAUACUUUGGGGAGGAAAGAAAAGAGAAAAUCCCAAACCCAAAGCCCCACACUAAAUAUGCACUUGUUCUCUCAGGCUGGCAGCCUCGAAGUUCAUAAACUCGGAAUUACCUUGUUUGGAAUAAACUGUUCUGAAAAUAAUUUCCAAAGGCUUCACCGAGUUUGCUUUGCUGGUGGCAGCCUUUCGGCUCCAAGCUGGCACGUGUAUGAAGCUCUC
rnacentral:lncRNA from 7 species